AAUAGGAAUCGACACGUAAAGUGUAUAUCAUUAAAACUAUUACCUAGUAUUUCAACAAGAAUCCAGUACUCUGUAAAAUAAUGCUCUCUGGGGUAAAGGCCCAGCUGUCCACGAAAUCUCAACAAAUCCAAGAUGAUUAUAUGGAGUGCAACUUUUUGAUCACUUUCGUAAGCCGAAAGUGCAUCUUGAACAUCUUGUGCAGCUCACAAAUGCAAUCUUGCCGGUGAUUCCAACUCUCAUUGACCGACUGCUGCAUCUUGAUCGCCAAUCGCUCACGGAUGAGAUUGAAAUAAUGAUUGAGGUCGUCGAAUAACUGUGCGCCCUGGAAUUUCAUGAAGCUCAUGUAUGUGACAUAGCAGUGGAUAAUCAACCCCGGCAGUAAAGCCACAAACAACGAUGCAGCCAGAACAAGUUUCGCCAAGAUUGUAUGACCCGGAUGGAUCCUAGGAGGCCAGUUUUUCUGAAUGUUGGCCAACUCGUCGUGUACUUCAGCGAUGAGUUCCCUUUUUCGCACAAGCAAAACAAGAAUGUACGCGGCCAGUAUAAGUCUGCUGCAGUAUUGUAUCCAGAACCCUGAGCGCGUGAGUGCGUUUUGUCUAAAAACUUCACUUGUUAAAUCAGGCGAACUUAUUGAAAAAAAAAAUGUUUAUUACGGGAAAUUGACUUUCAGCAGAUCUGAAUUUGCGACCAACAAGGCGAAGGUCACAAGUAGUGCAGCUAUGAAGAGUCUGUAGGAGGUGAACGUUUGUCGCACAAGGAGGCUUUUACUGGAGACAUUCGGGUACACUCCCAAUACCAAGAGCAUACAGGUGAGCGGCGCUUUUAUAUCAAUGUAGUUUACAAAUUUCGAACGCAUGUUUCAAAUCACAAUCGACGCCUCAAGUUACAAAUAUUCAAAUCAUUCGAUAAGCAACUGUGCGAAUUUGUAAGGAGUGAUAUGUUAGCCACGCGUCGAAUGAAUCGAAUGUACAUUUGAACUGUAAAUAAAUAAACACGUGAUGCCAAUCACGUCGAUGAUACAUUAUUAAAAACUGACAUUUGGUUUUUGGAGAAGAAAAAACCAACAUUAAACGGAACAUUAUUAUGUAUUGACCAAAUGGCCCGCAAUUAGUGCUCACAUUUCAUAGGAAAAAAAGGUAGUUAAUGGUCAAACCAUUUAUUUGAUUAAAUGAUAGUACGUAUAAAAUCACCAACACCAUUAUUGAUAUAUGCAGUCAUGACAUU